UUUAAGGCUGAGACACGACGUCGAGCACCUACGGGUGUGAAGUCAUUGAUGCCAUGCUUCCAGGAAAAGCCUCUAAGCUUCAGAUUGUAAGGAAUCGUACCCCAAACCGACACAGGUGGUCGGGUAGAGAAUACCAAGGCGCUUGAGAGAACUCGGGUGAAGGAACUAGGCAAAAUGGUACCGUAACUUCGGGAGAAGGUACGCUCUUGAUGGUGAAGUCCCUCGCGGAUGGAGCUGACGAGAGUCGCAGAUACCAGGUGGCUGCAACUGUUUAUUAAAAACACAGCACUGUGCAAAAUCGUAAGAUGACGUAUACGGUGUGACGCCUGCCCGGUGCCGGAAGGUUAAUUGAUGGGGUUAGACUUCGGUCGAAGCUCUUGAUCGAAGCCCCGGUAAACGGCGGCCGUAACUAUAACGGUCCUAAGGUAGCGAAAUUCCUUGUCGGGUAAGUUCCGACCUGCACGAAUGGCGUAAUGAUGGCCACGCUGUCUCCACCCGAGACUCAGUGAAAUUGAAAUCGCUGUGAAGAUGCAGUGUACCCGCGGCUAGACGGAAAGACCCCGUGAACCUUUACUACAGCUUGGCACUGAACAUUGACCCUACAUGUGUAGGAUAGGUGGGAGGCUUUGAAGCACGUACGCCAGUAUGUGUGGAGCCGUCCUUGAAAUACCACCCUUGUAGUGUUGAUGUUCUAACGUCGACCCCUAAUCGGGGUUGCGGACAGUGCCUGGUGGGUAGUUUGACUGGGGCGGUCUCCUCCCAAAGAGUAACGGAGGAGCACGAAGGUGGGCUAAUCACGGUUGGACAUCGUGAGGUUAGUGCAAUGGCAUAAGCCCGCUUGACUGCGAGAAUGACAAUUCGAGCAGGUGCGAAAGCAGGUCAUAGUGAUCCGGUGGUUCUGAAUGGAAGGGCCAUCGCUCAACGGAUAAAAGGUACUCCGGGGAUAACAGGCUGAUACCGCCCAAGAGUUCAUAUCGACGGCGGUGUUUGGCACCUCGAUGUCGGCUCAUCACAUCCUGGGGCUGAAGUCGGUCCCAAGGGUAUGGCUGUUCGCCAUUUAAAGUGGUACGCGAGCUGGGUUUAGAACGUCGUGAGACAGUUCGGUCCCUAUCUGCCGUGGGCGUUGGAAGAUUGAAGGGGGCUGCUCCUAGUACGAGAGGACCGGAGUGGACGAACCUCUGGUGUUCGGGUUGUGUCGCCAGACGCAUUGCCCGGUAGCUAAGUUCGGAAUCGAUAACCGCUGAAAGCAUCUAAGCGGGAAGCGAGCCCUGAGAUGAGUCUUCCCUGAUACUUUAAGUAUCCUAAAGGGUUGUCGGAGACUACGACGUUGAUAGGUCAGGUGUGUAAGUGCUGUGAGGCAUUGAGCUAACUGAUACUAAUUGCCCGUGAGGCUUAACCAU
rnacentral:rRNA from 1 species